UACGAAGGGGGCUAGCGUUGCUCGGAAUCACUGGGCGUAAAGCGCACGUAGGCGGAUUGUUAAGUCGGAGGUGAAAUCCUGGAGCUCAACUCCAGAACUGCCUUUGAUACUGGGGAUCUCGAGUCCGGAAGAGGUAAGUGGAACUCCGAGUGUAGAGGUGAAAUUCGUAGAUAUUCGGAAGAACACCAGUGGCGAAGGCGGCUUACUGGUCCGGUACUGACGCUGAGGUGCGAAAGCGUGGGGAGCAAACAGG
rnacentral:rRNA from 1 species